UACGAAGGGGGCUAGCGUUGCUCGGAAUUACUGGGCGUAAAGGGAGCGUAGGCGGAUAUUUAAGUCGGGGGUGAAAGCCCAGGGCUCAACCCUGGAAUUGCCUUCGAUACUGGAUAUCUAGAGUAUGGGAGAGGUGUGUGGAACUCCGAGUGUAGAGGUGAAAUUCGUAGAUAUUCGGAAGAACACCAGUGGCGAAGGCGGCUCACUGGCCCGGUACUGACGCUGAGGUGCGAAAGCGUGGGGAGCAAACAGG
rnacentral:rRNA from 1 species